rnacentral:rRNA from 1 species
GACGAACGCUGGCGGCGUGCAUAACACAUGCAAGUCGAACGAAGUGGCGAACGGGUGAGUAACGCGUACUCAACCUGCCCUUCAGAGGGGGACAACAGUUGGAAACGACUGCUAAUACUGCAUACGGAAGGAGGGGCUUGCGUUGGAUGGGCGAGGUGGAGUGGUAACGGCCCACCAAGGCGAUGAACAGUAGCCGGUCUGAGAGGAUGAACGGCCACAUUGGGACUGAGACACGGCCAAGACGCCUACGGGAGGCAGCAGUGGGGAAUCUUCCGCAAUGGACGAAAGCCUGACGGAGCAACGCCGCGUGAGUGAUGACGGUCUUCGGGUUGUAAAGCUCUGUUAUUCGGGAAGCGGUACCGGAAUAGAAAGCCACGGCUAACUACGUGCCAGCCGCCGCGGUAAUAC